UACGGAGGGUGCAAGCGUUAUCCGGAUUCACUGGGUUUAAAGGGUGCGUAGGUGGGCAGGUAAGUCAGCGGUGAAAUCCCCCGAGCUUAACUUGGGAACUGCCAUUGAUACUAUCUGUCUUGAAUACCUUGGAGGUGAGCGGAAUAUGUCAUGUAGCGGUGAAAUGCUUAGAUAUGACAUAGAACACCAAUUGCGAAGGCAGCUCACUACACGGUCAUUGACACUGAGGCACGAAAGCGUGGGGAUCAAACAGG
rnacentral:rRNA from 1 species